GAUGAACGCUGGCGGCGUGCCUAAUACAUGCAAGUCGAGCGAACAGACGAGGAGCUUGCUCCUCUGACGUUAGCGGCGGACGGGUGAGUAACACGUGGAUAACCUACCUAUAAGACUGGGAUAACUUCGGGAAACCGGAGCUAAUACCGGAUAAUAUAUUGAACCGCAUGGUUCAAUAGUGAAAGACGGUUUUGCUGUCACUUAUAGAUGGAUCCGCGCCGCAUUAGCUAGUUGGUAAGGUAACGGCUUACCAAGGCAACGAUGCGUAGCCGACCUGCGAGGGUGAUCGGCCACACUGGAACGGAGACACGGUCCAGACUCCUACGGGAGGCAGCAGUAGGGAAUCUUCCGCAAUGGGCGAAAGCCUGACGGAGCAACGCCGCGUGAGUGAUGAAGGUCGUCGGAUCGUAAAACUCUGUUAUUAGGGAAGAACAAAUGUGUAAGUAACUAUGCACGUCUUGACGGUACCUAAUCAGAAAGCCACGGCUAACUACGUG
rnacentral:rRNA from 1 species